ACAAAAAAAACUUUCUGACUGUUUCAACAUGCUGACACUGGAGUGACCUUCCAUAAAAAUUUAUAUAAAUGUCUCCUCACACAAACCUUCACCCUAUCAUUUAACUUUUUUUGUUGUUGUUUAAAAAAAAAAAUGUUUUUUUAAUCUGUCCAUCAUUAGUCUUGUUGAGAUAAGUUGAGCAUCUGGCAUAAAAGUUGCUGUGUAAAUUGUCACUAUGGAAAUGAUCGCGUAUUAGCGUAUUAGAAUGAGUAGAUUAAAAUACUUUGCACUACAGCUGGCACUACUUUCAAAGCCGAGCUGUUAUAGAAAAAUUACACCACGGCCUGUACGAAUACUCGAUUCUGAUUGGCUGGAAGGUGUGCGUUAAAAGCGUAUGUGCCACAGGUAGUUCCGGUCAGUUUAAUCACCGUUCUAAAUUAAUGUGCUGCCUGUAACCAUAGUAACAUACAGUUGCAUACAGUAGUUAAACUCACAGCUUCAUUAUUAGUAGAGACACGGCACAGACGCAGGUAAUUCACAUACACACCCUCUCUCUCUCUCUCUCUCUCUCUCUCUCUCUCUCUCUCUGUCUCUCUCUCUCAUAACUAUUUAUUAUAAUUCAUUCAAAUAAAUGUAAUCUUAUCGCACUACUUUAUCUCUGUGUAUGAUAUAGAGCAGGCAGAAUUCUAGAUGUAACAACCCGUAUAUAAAAUAAGUAACGAAAGUUAACCGUUGUUUUUAUCUUUUCAGUCAAAUUUUGCACAGCCAAGAUUAAUGACAGCUUUAAUUUGUUAAUGCUGGCAAGUGACCAUGGUAUAAGUGGAAUAAUCCAUGGUUGGGUGUGCAUUACACGAUUUUAAUGCACCCCGCUUCGCAUUGGGUGGUUCUUUGUCUCCAUUAAAAUCGUGUAACCUUACUUAACCAUCACCUUUCGACCAAUCAGAACCAAGAACUCAGCAGUGCUGUGGUAUAAUAUUCAAUGUUGUGUCACAUUAUUUUGUAUGAAAUGAUACAUCUCAUUAUAUAAGCUUGAGUGUCCACAGUGCUAACAGCACAUACCCGUAAGUCUUCCAUAUGAGGCCCGAUUCAUGCUUUUACCUCUGAAUGCAUCCUAUUAUACCUGUGUAUUUCACCACCGUGAGCCGGCCGCUGCCGCACCAUAAAGCUCUGAUUUCUUUUAUCCGUUCAGGGGAUGCGUAUAGAUCAGGAACACCAAAUGAAUUUAUCAGUCCACCGAGCUCAGAAAUGGAUGUUUAUUGAUUUUCCUUCAGAGCCACUAUGAGAAGGGGGACACACCCAGACACAGAGGUGCUCAUUCAUCCCUUGUUCAUCUCACAGACACAAGUACAGUGGCUGACUGAUGACCUUGGCAAUUGUGCUGUCAGGAAAAAUGACAAGUGUAUUCCUAAACCUACUCGUAGAAAAAGCAAUUUGCCGGAUGACUAGAGUUUGUUGAAGAAAACAAUAGCAACCGAAACAAUGGUUACACCAAAAUGCACAACAGAAAUGUCAUUAAAGAAUUGCUCUCCCUCAUUAAUAAAAAGGCAGCUGAAUUAAAUGCCACGUUUUUUUUUUGUUGUUGUUGUUGUUUUAAUUGAUGAAAAGCCAAAAGCAGAGUUGGAAAACAAUUAAUUUCAGCCUUCAACAAAAAAAAAAAAAAUGUGGGUGGAGGAGGACUUAAAUGGCAUAAACACCAUCUGGUAAACUGAUUUUGAAGUUGAACAGAUGAAUUGCCCUGUACAAGCACUUGCAAAUAGAAGUCCAUUUCUCUCUCUGUUUGAUUUCUGCUGCGGAGUACAGCGCGGACAGAGAAGAAUAGCUCGUUGGCAAAGAAAAGGCUAAUUCACUAAAGGUCAAUUGCAUUACCAGCGGGAAAACAACGACUGCAGUGCCAUGAUACACAGCACACAGAGAAGACCAUCCUCUGGAAUUUAUUGCACUUAACAUUUAUUGCACUCAUGCAAACACAGAAAUGCUUCCAAUAAGUCUUUUUUAUAUAGAGUUGUAUUGUUAUGGGAGCCAUGAUUGCAAGCUAUGAUGGCCAAGCAGAGAUGGGGAUCAUAAAGGCGGCCUGCUGGUAAUCAGCACCCCAAGUGUGAAUCUGCCAGGCAUUGUGGGCUGAGUAAACACACAUAGACACACAAACAUGUUUAACCAAGAGGCUCAGCCUGAUUUCCCCAUCUGCACAUCAGCGUUCGACCAAACCGCCAUUCAGCCACAUUUGCUAGCAGUGAUUACUGUGCAUACAGUUACAUAUUUUCCAGAGAAUGUCACACCUAAAAUUGUCUGUACACAGAAAAUAAUCAGUAUACAAGUAGCUUUAUUGUAUAAGCUACAUUAUACCAUGGCUAUGAGAAAUGCUCAUUCCUGAUUGGCCAACAAGUGUGCUCUUUAUAUCAGGACUUACAUAGUCUGUCCAUAUGAGGAUUGUGUUCACCAGGUUUUCGUGACGUUUCCCAUCAUUCAUCAUUUCAGAAAGUGAAAUUAGAAUUUCUGGGACGUUGGUUAGGGUUAGAGGUUGAUGCUAAUUAUAAAUACAGUGUUAUUUUAGUCACAAUGAGUCUCCUAGUAAAUUUAGUAGCAUCUCAUUAUUCUUCGUUAUUCAUUAUUCAGCUCCUAAUCCUAAUCUUCUAAUCAGUCUUAGUGUUAGGCAGCAUCAGGCUUUUCUAACUCUAUAACAGGCUUUUCUAAGGUAUACUGCAGUUCGGUUUUUUCCAUUCUUUUGACAAAAUUCUCCUACUCUACCACUUCAAAGCCAGAUUCCUCAAACCUGCUUUGAAACUUGAGGGUACUGACUCACACUUUUGUUGGAGGGUUUUUUUUUCCUGUUCUUACAGUCUCCCCCUAUUCUCAAUUUUGACCACAUAGGUGGCUUUUUGUUGUUUGAAUUCCUUUCACUUCUGCGCACUUUCAGCUUCCACGAACUUGGUAUAAAGUUGAAGACUGUAAUAACUUGAGUGCUCCAUGCUUGUUUUCUUCUUGUUCAUUUCCCUACUCUCAUUUGGUGACUGCUACAAUUUUCAAGAG